AACAGAUGAACAGAAACACACUGUGGAGAGCGGGCCGUUUGAACUAUUUUGGGGCAGGUCACUAUUGCCACUAUUUUUAGCCGCAUCUGACUUUCACCAAGCUGUUUCAAGGGAGAGGGACUUUCCUGGGUUUGGUGCCACGGUACCUCAAGCAAUUGCACAUCGGUCUUGAAGGGAUAUUGUCCGAAAGCAACUCCUAUAGUCAACGUGUUGCCCCUGUAUCCCUGCUUUCAGGUGUAUGGCUGUGAUAGUGGAUGGUCGGUCUGUGGCCAUGACUGUCUGUGAGUGACUGCAUUUCUCCACCCCUAUCCCUUGCCUGCUUACAGGAACAAUGAGCGCUUAGGACCUCAGACUGGGGUGAAGGUUCACCUUCCAACUGGAC